GCUCUCAACUCACCAUCCUUAGCUAUAUUAUUCAUUUGUUAUUUCUCAAUAAUUCCUUAACGAAAAACGUUGGAAAUCACCCGCUAAUUACUAAUCUACAAUUGCAUGUAGGAUCAAGAUUCGACAAGUUGUCGAGCUAUCGAGUCGGAGGACCAAGGGAAUUAACGGAGUUGUUUAAAGGAGCAUUGACGGAGUAAUACCGUAGUUAAACGGUUUCUGAAAGCUGGUCCGAUUUUGAUGAAGGCUUCCGAACGUUUAUUUCUCGGA